CAGACCAUUUUUUUUCCCUAUCUCUGUGACUCAUCACAGAAGACAUUAUGACUUUUUGUGUACAGCUUACCUACACCCAAGGGUGAGGGCUAGGGUAUCUACUACAGUGGGCAGCAGAGUCUUCCCACAGAGCAGAGGGAUGCUACCGAGAGAAGUAUUGUGGGCUCCUGAAAGUGGAAGAGACAGAUUCAGUGGGAGAAGAUAAAAGUACACACUAUGUCAUUGGAUUAAGCCAUCCAAUGUCACAGAAAUGCUCUUUACUUGCAUCAGGACCAUGAAGAAAUAUUUCAUACCUUCUUGGAAAAAGAUUUCCUCAUCAGCUAGCAAAACUCAACAUAGGAGAGCUAAGGUAUCUACUUGCUGAGAAAUUCAUACAGCCCAGUGGAAACGCGGUCUUCAAGGGAGCUUUCAUCACCAUCUCUGUGGAGAAGUGGGGUGUGGAUGAGAAUUCCCCGAGCAGCAGCUUCCUUGAGUUAGUUCUCAGCUGGUGCCUGUUGCUGGGAAUGUCAAGGAACUUCCCCAGCAAUAGGGGAGCCAACAAAACAAGUAAAGGUUUUCAAUGACAAACCACAUGAAAAGUCAAUGAAGACUUCUCCCUCAUAUGUAUCACCAGACAUAUGCCAAAGGCAGAUGCAUACCCUCCACACAAGUGAUUUCAACAAAACUAAAAAGUGAAACAGUCAUUCACACAAAUGAUUGCUCUUCAUAAUGCACACCACUGACAUACAUGACAGGCAAUAACAGUAUUUGAUAAAGGAUUCUGCCAAAAACUUCUUCUUUCCCUUUAAAUAUGUUUGCCAUCAGCUUUGGGGUUGAUGUCGCAAACUUCUCAGCAAAUCUGCUUUUGCCAUGAGGAAUGUAACUUUGAAUGAUGCCUUUGAGACUUUGUUCUGUUCUGGGCCCUCAGCGACAGAAUUAAUCAGUUUCACCCUGGAAAAUACUAUUUUGAACUUGAUCUGGGACAACUCAACUGGUUUACUAGAGAGACUGCUGUACUUUGCCUGAAAAUGACUCAAAAGCAUUCAGGGUUUCAUACCACUAUUUGACAAAGUUUCAUAACAGAGAAAGCACUGGAGACUAUGCACAAAUAAAUCACCUGCCAAGUAAAAUUCAA